CCGAGUUUACAACUCCCAAACCCCUGUGAACAUACCUAUCGUUGCCUCGGCGGUGCCCGCUCCGGCGGCCCGCCAGAGGACCCCCAAACUCUUGUUUUAUACAGUAUCUUCUGAGUAACACGAUUAAAUAAAUCA
rnacentral:misc_RNA from 1 species